CAGUCGCCGCGGUAAUACGAAGGUCCCAAGCGUUGUUCGGAAUCACUGGGCGUAAAGGGAGCGUAGGCGGCGUGGUAAGUCAGAUGUGAAAUCCCGGGGCUCAACCCCGGAACUGCAUCCGAUACUGCCAUGCUUGAGGGUUGGAGAGGUAGCUGGAAUUCUCGGUGUAGCAGUGAAAUGCGUGGAUAUCGAGAGGAACACUCGUGGCGAAGGCGAGCUACUGGACAACAACUGACGCUGAGGCUCGAAGGCCAGGGUAGCGAAAGGGAUUAGAUACCCCUGUAGUCCCUGUCUCUUAUAC
rnacentral:rRNA from 1 species